UUACAUUUACAUAUAUAUAAACAUGUAAAUAUACCACACUGUAAUAGACUGGACAUUUUGUAAGAUAAUUAAGUUCUGAAAUACAGACAAUUGUUGACAAUACAGUUAGAUAUAAUUACACUUUGUGUUUUGUAGGACUGUGGAGUGUUGUGAUGUUAUUGAUGGUCAACAGAAGACUGUGACCUUGAAUCUGAAGAUCUGUGAUGAAGACUGGACGUUUGGGGUCACUCUCUGUUACAGUACUACAAAUCUAACAGUGAAACGCUCAGACACAAAGAGGUUGUCUCUGAUGUCCACACAUAAACCCCAUGGAGUGUAUAAAUAACAGUGAAUGUAACGGAGGAACUGUCCGUCCUGAUCUAGGAUGUCGAUACGGUGAUUGUGAUAGUCUGCUGUCAGGAUGUGACUCUGGCUGUCUGUAGUGAGGCCGACUGGAUUAAAUGAUUGCUCGGUAUUAGAGGGAUGACCAUUGUAUCUAAAUCGGAGUUUUCCAGACUGAUUGACCACCACUACUGCUCUAACUGACCGGUCAGCCACACAGAUAUCCAGGUUCUUGUUCUCACUGAGGUAUUUAAUGUUACCAGAUGAAUAGAGAGGACGACCCUGAUCAUCAAACUGAAUGCUUUGUUUCUCUGUGGAGCCGGAGUAACGCACGACUUUGGAUUGUUUUCCAUCAUCACUGACCAUGGUAACCAGGAGAUCAUCAGAGGCGGUACUGCAGACAAAGCCAGGUCUCCACCCCUGUAGUGUGAUCACGAUUGAGUUGAGUGGAACAAUGAACCUCCGGAUAUCUAUGUGCAUUUACACGUGUAGGAUUAAACUUAUGUUGCACUCGCGCAUGCGAGCUUAUCCUA